AUGUUUCACUUGACGCGCUGGCCCACCCUUCCUUGCGCGUUCCACUCCCGUCGCCGUCUCCAGAAUCCCCCAUCCGACCGGACGGACCCGCUGGUCGCAGCGCACACGCGCAGCGUCGCCCGCUCCCCAAAUUCAAAUUUCGAAUCGCCCCGCAGCCCCCCUUCCAGCCCGUCCACUUUAAACCCCACCCCAUUCCCCUUCCCCUCCCCCAGAUCCCCAAUUCCAACCCCCACCCCCGCAUUCCGCCCCACCACCAAAACCCUAGCGCGCACACAACCUCUGUGUGCCGCCAUGCCGCCCGCCGCGAAGAAGCCGCCGCUGAAGUCCAGCUCCUCGCACAACUCCGCCGCGGGGGAUGCCGCCGGGAAGACCAUCGAGGAGAUGUACCAGAAGAAGACCCAGCUGGAGCACAUCCUGCUGCGCCCGGACACCUACGUCGGCUCCAUCGAGAAGCACACGGCGACGCUCUGGGUCUACGAGGACGGCGCCAUGGUGAACCGGCCCGUCACCUACGUCCCCGGCCUCUACAAGAUCUUCGACGAGAUCCUCGUCAACGCCGCCGACAACAAACAGCGCGACCCCUCCAUGGACUCCCUCAAGGUCGACAUCGACGUCGAGGGGUGCUGCAUCUCCAUCUACAACAACGGGGACGGCGUGCCCGUCGAAAUCCACCAGGAGGAGAAAAUCUACGUGCCGGAGCUCAUCUUCGGCAAUCUCCUCACAAGCAGCAACUACGACGAUAACGAGCGGAAGACCACCGGCGGGAGGAACGGCUACGGUGCCAAACUCGCCAACAUCUUCUCCACGGAGUUCGUCAUCGAGACCGCUGAUGGGCGCCGACAGAAGAGGUACAAGCAGGUUUUCUCCGAGAACAUGGGCAAGAAGUCGGAGCCUGAGAUUAAAAAGUGCAAGCAGUCGGAGAACUGGACUAAAGUUACCUUCAAGCCUGAUCUUGAAAAGUUCAAAAUGACUGAGCUCGAAGCAGAUGUUGUGGCACUCAUGAUGAAGCGAGUGGUUGACAUGGCGGGCACCCUUGGCAAAACCGUGAAGGUUGAGUUGAAUGGCGAGAAGGUGGCAGUAAAAAGCUUCUCGGAUUACGUGCAACUGUAUAUCGACUCUGCUUCCAAAGAAGGAAUCAAGCUUCCAAGAAUUUACCAAAAGGUAAAUGAUCGCUGGGAGGUGUGUGUGAGUCUAAGUGAAGGCCAGUUCCAGCAGGUCAGUUUUGUAAAUGGAAUUGCGACCAUAAAAGGUGGAACUCACGUUGACUACGUUGCAAGCCAAAUUGCCAGCCAUGUGAUGGGUGUUGUGAACAAGAAGAACAAGCAGGCUAACAUGAAGUUGCAUAUAGUGAAGGGCUACCUAUGGGUAUUUGUUAAUGCGCUCAUUGACAACCCUGCAUUUGACUCACAGACCAAAGAGACCUUGACGACUCGUCAAGGAAGCUUUGGGUCCACGUGCGAGCUCCCUGAAGAUUUCCUUAAGAAGGUCUCUAGCUCGGGUGUUGUUGACAGUCUCCUUUCUUGGGCUGAGUUCAAACUAAGCAAGGAACUUAAGAAGACUGAUGGAACCAAGAAGACAAGUAUUGUUGGCAUCCCUAAACUGGAGGAUGCAAAUGAUGCUGGUGGGAAGAACUCUGACCAGUGCACCUUGAUCCUUACUGAAGGAGAUUCGGCAAAGGCUUUAGCUAUGGCUGGCAUAGGUGUAGUAGGAAGGGAUCACUAUGGUGUGUUUCCUCUCAGGGGUAAAUUAUUAAAUGUGAGGGAAGCAAGCCAUAAGCAGUUGAUGGAGAAUGCGGAGAUCCAAAAUAUAAAGAAAAUAUUAGGUCUGCAGCAUGAAAAAAAGUAUGAUAGCACGAAAGGCUUGAGAUAUGGCCACCUCAUGAUAAUGACAGAUCAGGACCAUGAUGGUUCCCACAUCAAAGGGUUGCUGAUCAAUUUCAUUCACAAAGAGUGGCCAUCUCUCCUCAAAGUUCCUUCUUUCUUGGUUGAGUUCAUCACUCCAAUUAUCAAGGCAACCAAGGGCAAAACUGUCCGUCCAUUUUACUCAAUGCCAGAUUAUGAAGCAUGGAAAGAGUCCUUAGGAGCAAGUGCAAGUUCGUGGACUAUAAAGUACUACAAGGGGCUGGGGACCAGCACAGCUGAAGAAGGCCGGGAUUACUUUGAACAAAUUUCCCUUCACAAGAAGGAUUUUGUCUGGGCGGAUGACAAAGAUGGUGAAGCUAUUGAGCUAGCGUUCAGCAAGAAAAAGAUCACUGAGAGGAAGGAUUGGCUGACCAACUACCAGCCUGGUACUUGUCUUGACCAACGUGAGAAACGCAUCAAGUACAGUGAUUUUAUCAACAAAGAGCUGAUACUCUUCUCGAUGGCAGACCUUGAACGGUCAAUACCUUCAAUGGUCGACGGCUUUAAGCCAGGACAGAGGAAGAUUUUGUUUUGCUCGUUCAAGAAGAAUUUGGUUAAAGAAUCUAAGGUGGCACAAUUUAUUGGCUAUGUGUCAGAACACUCAGCAUACCACCACGGUGAGCAGAGUCUAGCAAGCACAAUUGUAGGAAUGGCUCAGGAUUUUGUUGGCAGCAAUAAUAUUAAUCUUUUGGAACCCCGUGGCCAAUUUGGUACCAGAAAUGCGGGGGGCAAAGAUGCUGCUAGUGCUAGGUACAUCUUCACCAGAUUAAAUCCUAUCACCCGCUUAAUUUUUCCGAAGGAUGAUGAUGUUCUGCUGAACUAUUUGAAUGAAGAUGGGCAGUCAAUUGAACCCAGCUGGUAUAUGCCAAUCAUUCCCAUGGUUUUGGUCAAUGGAAGUGAAGGCAUUGGCACUGGAUGGAGCACCUAUGUCCCAAACUACAAUCCAAGAGACAUUAUUGCUAAUCUGAAAAGGUUGCUAAAUGGGGAGACAAUUGUACCAAUGGUUCCUUGGUACAGGGGGUUCAAGGGCUCUUUGAAGGAGACAAGUACAAAGGCAACUGGUGUGACAUAUACCAUCACUGGUGUUAUAGAGGAAGUUGCUGACACCAAGCUUAAAAUUACUGAGCUUCCCGUCCGCCGCUGGACUACAGAUUACAAAGAAUUUCUUGAAUCCAUGUGUCCUAUUCCUAUAAAGGAAAAGGAAAAGAGCAAGGACAAGAACAAGGAAAAGAAGAAGGAAAAGGACAAGGACAAGGACAAGGAAAAGGAAAAGAGCAAGGAACCACCGUUGUUGGAGGAAAUAAGGUCGCAGUGUGAUCAUGCGGAUGUGGAAUUUGAGCUUAUACUGACUGAGCAAAACAUGAAUAUAGCUAAGCAAGAAGGCCUUGAGAAGAAAUUCAAGCUGACUACCACAAUAGGAACAACAAACAUGCACUUGUUUGACUCACAUGGUAAAAUCAAAAAAUAUGACAACCCAGAGGAUGUACUUCAAGAGUUCUUCGAUUUGAGGUUUAAAUUCUAUAUCAAACGGAAGAAAGUAAUGUUGGAAAACAUGGGGCAAGAGUUGCUGAAGUAUCAGAACAAAGUUAGGUUUAUUCUUGCUGUUACUUCUGGGGAAAUCAUAGUCAAUAACAGGAAGAGGGCAGACCUAUUCCAGGAGCUGCAGAAGAAGAACUAUACACCUUUCCCAAAGAAAAAACCCACGUCCGGGCCAGUUGCUGUAGGAUCUACAGAAGCAGAUGAAGAUAAUGAUGAGAGUCCUGCUGAAGCUGCAGCAAGUGAUUAUGAGUAUCUUCUUGCAAUGUCAAUUGGUACCUUGACUAUGGAGAAGGUGAAGGAGCUCAUUGCGCAGCAGAAUAAGGUAGAGGCUGAUCUUGAAAUCCUGCGUAACACAGAGCCAAAAACUCUUUGGCUGAGAGACCUUGACGCUCUUGAGAAGGAACUGGAUGUGCUUGAUGCAAAACUUGAAGCUGAACAGAACGACAGAUCACGCAAGCGCGCCAAAAAUUCUGAAAAGGCGAGGGACCCUAAGCCAGCAACCAAGAAACAGCCUAAGAAGGCUACAGCCAAAUCGCAGAAGGCUGGGAGUGAUGAUGAUGUUGAUUAUAAAGGAGACAUUCUGAAACCUGCUGCACAAAAGAAGAAACCACCACCCAAGAAGGCAAGUGCACCGGUGAAAGAUGAGGUGAAAGAUGAAGAGGACGAAGUGGCUGAGCUGAAAGACCGCCUGGCUGCUUAUAAUAUUCAUAGUGACAACUCUCCAGAACCCAGUGCCAUGGAAACAGAAGAACAUCAGGAAGGAAAGAAAGGGAGGAACGGACCAAGCAAAAGAGGCGCAGCAAAGAAGGCUAUGUCAUCCUUAGCUGAGAUUUCUGAUGAAGACAUUGCAGAGCCCCACCAUGAGAGCGAGGAUGGUGGGUCUUCCAUGGAAGUUGAGAAGAAAACUAAAGGAAGAAAGCCUGCCGCUGAGAAGCCGAAGACUACCAUCAGGAAGAGGGCGCCAACUCAGAGCAAAGGGAUGAGGCAGAAAGUGAUGGAAGAAAUAUUCAAGCCUACUGAUGACAGUACCCUCAGUGCUCCUUCUCCUGAGAAGAAGGUGCGAAGGAUCAGAGACUCCCCCUUCAACAAGAAGAGCGGCUCGGUUCUGCACAGAAUGGCGAGCUCUUCAACAGGGACAGAAGAUGCUGAGGCUCCUCCCUCCGGCAGCUCUGCUGAGACAGUUGUACCGAGAAGGACAACAAGGGAGAGGAAGGCGGCAGUAGUCUACGUCGCUUCUGAAAGCGAAGAUGAUGAGUCUGAGGAUGAAGAUGUGUCAGAGCCAAGUGACGAUGAUGACUUCUCCGAAGAUGACUAG
rnacentral:rRNA from 1 species